rnacentral:lncRNA from 1 species
GCCGGGCGCGGGCCGGGCGCGGUGGCUCACACCUGAAAUCCCAGCACUUUGGGAGGCCGAGGCGGGUGGAUCACGAGGUCAAGAGAUCGAGACCAUCCUGGUCAACAUGGAGAAACCCCGUCCCUACUAAAAAUACAAAAAAUUACCUGGGCACGGUGGCGCGUGCCUGUAGUCCCAGCUACUCAGGAGGCUGAGGCAGGAGAAUUGCCUGAACCCAGGAGGCGGAGGUUGCGGUGAGCCGAGAUCGCGCCAUUGCACUCCAGCCUGGGUAACAAGAGCAAAACUCCGUCUCAAAAAAAAAAAAAAAAAAAAGAAAAAGAAAAAAAAGCCCAGCGGAGAAAGAUGGGCUAGACAGAUGGGAAAUGGGCGGAGGUAAAGCGAUGACCAAAAAAAGCUGGAAGAAAGCCAAAGGUGAUCCUACAGGUUUAUUUAGGAGGGAUCUUUUCCAAGCUCUCUAACCCUGGGCAAGACAUGGCUUACUCUACUUACCUGAUAGAAAAGUUCUGGCAUCUUUCACCUACCAUUUUGAUCAUGGUAAAACAAGUUUAAUAUAAUGUAAGUAAAUAUAGUGUUUUAGAAGUUGUAUUCAGAAUACUACUUUUCUUUUCUUUCUUUCUUUUUUUUUUUUUUUUUUAGACAGAGUCUGGCUCUGUCACCCAGGCUGGAUUGCAGUGGCACCUGGUUCGCUGCAACCCCCUCUCCUGGGCUCAAUCGAUCCUCCCACCUCAGCCUCCUGAGUAGCAGGGACUACAGGCACACAACAUCAUGCCCAGAAUGUUAAAGCUACUUGAAGAUAAGGAUCUUGUUUGUCUUGUUCAUCACUAUUUCCCCAGCACCUAACUGUGCAGAAAGCCCAGCUCUAUAUGAGAAGCUCAGCGAUGAACUCCUCUUGCCCCUUAAGGUCCACUCUUGCCUCGACUUUGCACCUUUAUUUAUAUGUGGCUGUCUUGAUUUUCCUUUCUGUUGUAUGACUGCAGACUUUAUGGAAUGGGAAAAGAAAUAGUAAAUACACAAAAUUGAUGAAUGACUUAAAGUUUUCAU